AGGUCCCCCUUUCCUCUGGGGCUGCAACAGCCCCAGGGGCCCCGGCUGCUCACCCCUGCACGCCCGGGCUGUAUUUCCUGGUCUUCCAGGGUGUGCCGGGGCUCUGCAGUGCUGGCUGAGGCGGCUGCCGCUGCUGGUGGGGGGAGUUGUUGAUGGCGACGCCCCGGCUGCCGGAGAGCAGGUAAUUCAUCCCAUAGGUGCUGGCUUUAUUCUCUCGUUUCCUACGGCCUGGGUGGUACUGGUGCUGCUGGGGAGACGCCGGCGGCGGCGGGUGGGGGCUGCGCGCCAGGUGCGGGGGCUGGUGGUGCCCAUUCACACCGUUCACUUUGUUCUCGUGGAAGUUAAAAAACUCCCCGGGUCCGGCCCCGCUGCCCAGCAGCCCGGGAGGAGCCACCGCCGCCGCCCGGGGGCCGCAGGAGGAAGAGGAGGAGCCGCCGCCUCCGCCGCCGCUGCACGAUCCCGAGGAGGAGAAGCCGGGGCUCUCGGUGCCGGACUCCACCGACGAGCAGGAGGACGAGGAAGACACGGAGGGCGACUUCUGCAGCCGCCGCGCUCCCUCGCCGCCGCUGUUCACUGCCGCGGGGCCGGCGGCGGGAACCAGUCCGGUCAGCAGGGCCGGAGGGGAAGGCGAAGGCGAAGGCGGCGAGGACGAGGAGCAGCAGGCGCCGCCGCCGGGCGCCCCGAGCCGCACGCAGCCGUGGCCGCGGGGCGGGGAGGCGGCGGAGUCCAGCGCCGGGGAGUUAAGGCAGAGGUAGUGCGGGAAGCUGGCGCCGCCCCGGCCCCCCACGCCCUGCGAGGUCUCCCAGAUCUGCAUCCACAGCGCAUUCGCGGGGCCUUUCUGCUCGGGCUGGAUCCAGGCCACGCGGGGAUCCAUCCACGCCCGCCCGGCUCCGACCCUCACGGCCCGGCCAGAGCGCCGCGCCGCCGCCCGCUCGCCGCGCACUCCCUCGCCUCAGCGCGCCGGGCCCGGCAGCGGCGCUAGACACGGGCCGGGAGCCGCGGCAUGUGUCGCGGGGAGGAGGGAGGGCGGCCGGGGGCGGAGGGGGGCAGAGCCGGGCGAGGCGAGCGCGGCUCGGGAGGAGCGGAGGCGGCGCAAACUGUACCCGGCCCGGCGCUGCCCGGAGCGCUCCCCGCACCGUUCCAAUGUGGCGUCCCCCUCGGCAGGGCCAGAACCGGCACUGCGCAUGCCCCGCAGAUUUUAAACCUUCACUGGAGACGGCCGCCCUGGCAACCGCACAUGCGCGCUGGCCGCCCCGCGGGGAGGGGCCCGGCCCGCCGAGCCCGGCGGGAAGGGGGAGGGAGAAGGACGCCGGGAAGGGGGGAGCCG
rnacentral:lncRNA from 1 species